rnacentral:rRNA from 1 species
GCCCUUUUCCGGUUGAUCCCGCCGGACCCCACUGCUAUCGGGAUAGGACUAAGACAUGCUAGUCGAGCGCUUCAGCCAAAACGAGGCGCGGCAUACAGCUCAGUAACACGUGGCUAAUCUGCCCUUAGGACAGGAACAACCCCGGGAAACUGGGGCUAAUUCUCAAUAGGCGAAGAACUCUGGAAUGAGUCUUCACCAGAAAAGAGCCUGCGUUAUGCUCGUAGGUUUCGCCUAAGGAUGAGGCCGCGACCGAUCAGGUUGUUGGUGAGGUAAUGGCUCACCAAGCCUUUUACCGGUGCGGGCCGUGAGAGCGGGAGCCCGGAGAUGGGCACUGAGACAAGGGCCCAGGCCCUACGGGGCGCAGCAGUCGCGAAAACUUUGCAAUACACGAAAGUGUGACAGGGCUAUCCCGAGUGCCAUCCGCUGAGGAAGGCUUUUACCCAGUCUAGAACGCUGGGGGAAUAAGGAGAGGGCAAGUCUGGUGUCAGCCGCCGCGGUAAUACCAGCUCUCCGAGUGGUGUGGAUGUUUAUUGGGCCUAAAGCAUCCGUAGCUGGCUAAGUUAGUCCCUUGUUAAAUCCACCGAAUUAAUCGUUGGAUUGCGGGGGAUACUGCUCGGCUAGGGGACGAGAGAGGCAGACGGUAUUUCCGGGGUAGGGGUGAAAUCCUAUAAUCCCGGGAAGACCACCAGUGGCGAAGGCUGUCUGCUAGAACGCGCCCGACGGUGAGGGAUGAAAGCUGGGGGAGCGAACCGGAUUAGAUACCCGGGU